GACGAACGCUGGCGGCGUGCUUAACACAUGCAAGUCGAGCGAUGAACCUUUCAUGAAUUUUUCGGAAUGAUUGGAAGAGGAUUAGCGGCGGACGGGUGAGUAACGCGUGAGCAACCUGCCUUAAACAACGGGAUAGCCUCGGGAAACCGGGAUUAAUACCGUAUGAGACCCCGCCUUCACAUGAAGAAGAGGUUAAAGAUUUAUCGGUAUAAGAUGGGCUCGCGUCUGAUUAGCUAGUUGGUGAGAUAAAAGCCCACCAAGGCAACGAUCAGUAACCGGCUUGAGAGAGUGAACGGUCACAUUGGAACUGAGACACGGUCCAAACUCCUACGGGAGGCAGCAGUGGGGAAUAUUGCACAAUGGGGGAAACCCUGAUGCAGCGACGCCGCGUGAGCGAUGAAGGAAUUCGUUUCGUAAAGCUCUGUCCAAGGGGAAGAUAAUGACAGUACCCUUGGAGGAAGCCCCGGCUAAAUACGUGCCAGCCGCCGCUGUAA
rnacentral:rRNA from 1 species